rnacentral:rRNA from 11 species
GGCGAACGGGUGAGUAACGCGUGGGAACCUGCCCUGGGGUUGGGAAUAACCGCUGGAAACGGCGGCUAAUACCCGAUACGCCUUGCGAGGGAAAGAUUUAUCGCCCUGGGAUGGGCCCGCGUCCGAUUAGCUUGUUGGUGGGGUAAUGGCCCACCAAGGCUUCGAUCGGUAGCUGGUCUGAGAGGAUGAUCAGCCACACUGGGACUGAGAC